rnacentral:lncRNA from 1 species
UAAGCUAUAUUGGUGUCUGAAAAAUGGAAGAGCAGAGAAGAGGAGAGUAGAGGGCAAGCAAAUUCGGUAUUGAGCAAGGAAAAUGUUUGGGAAUCAAGUAAGUUGAGACUAAAAAAAAAACUUAGCAUCUCAUCUUUCUUCUUCUUCUCCUCCCAGCCGAUCGAGCCUUCCUUUCCUUUUCCCCAAUUUUGCCGCGCUCCUCCCCUGUCAAGAAACAGCCCAGCCGAGCUCCCUCCUCUCAAUUCAAUUCCAAAAUUGGUUAAGCUAAACACAAGAAUCAAAGCUAAGGAAAGCUUAUUGAGAUUAAAAUCAAGCUAACAAAGAGGUAUACAUUAAAUUAAGUAUGUUUUCUUUAAUUUAUAUGGAGUUAAUAUAUGAAUAUGUGAUUUAGUUUGUAAUUGCUAAAUUACACAAGAAUGGACUAAGGAGAAGAAUUAGCUUGAUUAAUAUUGGUAAUUAAGGCUAUGGGUAAUUGUUAUAAGUAUGGGAAUUUCUGUAUUGCAUAAUGGUUGCAUUAGAAUCAAGAAACUAAGAAAUGACAAGGUUAACUUUGAAGUUAGUAAACUAACUUAUGUAAAUAUGUAUACAUGUAUGGUUUAUAUUGUGAAUCUGUUCUUAUGGACUAAAUUAGAGCCUUGGCGUAUAGUUGUUGUUGUGCGGAGCAAUAAGAUUGGCAAAAAUGGUUUGAUUAUGUAACCCCAACUUAUAGAAAUCAGUCCACAAAAAAAAAAAAAAACGCACGCGCGAUGUUCGUUUAAAUGCUCAAAAGGGCCAUUUUGGCUAAAAUUACAUAAUUUUACGAAGCCGGGACUUUGGACUCGUCUUAAUAUGUUAAACAAGACUUAGUUGUGAAGCAAAACGAGUCGGAGCGAACCACGACGAGUUUUGGCUUGUGAACGUAAAGUCUAAAAAUUAGCCUCUACAGCCUUUUUCGGCACACUGUUUGGUCAGUUUAGAAAACUUAAAUUGCUGAGGUUAUAUUUUUUAGAAAUACUAUGGUAUGCCAUGUAUAACAUAUCCAAAAAUUGGAUCAAUCCGAUAAACGAGUAAUGCGUGAGAAACUCGCAAAAGGGGCAGCAGCAGCAGGCCAACGCGCACGUGCUGCUGGGCAGCUGCCUGACAUGCUUUUUGCUCGCUGUUUUGAUUGGCUUUCGGGAUUCCUUUUCGCGGUUAGAAAUUUUUUAUAAAAAUACUAUGACAUAAGAGCUCCAACAUACCAAGAAUUUGUUGCGAUUCGAGUUAUGGUUUGAGAUUUAAAAUUAGGCAAAAAGGCAUGUCAGGACUAAAAUUUGAGCGACGCCGAGUGUCGACACGCCGGGCUGUUUUGACAUUUGUCGUUCCGAAUCGCGUUUGGGCUAGAUUUUAAGUAAUGUUAAGUCUAAUAAAGUCCCAAGAGAUAAAUUUUGAUGUUAUGUGAUAAGUUAUGCUACGAAAACUCAGUACGGGCAAUUUGUAUGUGAAAAUGGUUUUAUAACGAAACGAAAAAGUAUGGAACCAUUUGAAAAAUUGUAUUAAUCAUAAAAAUGAUAUUUUGAGAUUUUUGGAGUUCAAAAUGAGGUUUUGAGUUGAUAUAUAUAUAUAUAUAUAUAUAUAUAUAUAUAUAAAUAUAUAUAUAAAGCAAAAUACAAAUAUUUGUAAAAAGAAAAAUAAAGCAAAUGUGCUAGCAAGAUAAAAUAUUUGUAUAUAAGGCCACAAUUAGUGUUGACUCAUGAACGGACAAAUUGAUGUAAAAAUUAUUUAAAUUAAAGAAAUAAUAUAGUAAGUUGAGUUUUACUAUAAAAGCUAUGUAUUAGCUAUUUAAACCCCAAAUUAGCGAAUAAAUGUAAAAGAUAUUUCUAAAAAGGAAUAUAAAUGAUUUAAGCUUCAAGAUGUAAAAUAUUUGCAUCUUAAAAUGUGUGAGACCUUUAUUAUUUAUGAAACAAGUAAAAUAUUAUUACAUGAUUAAUAAUAUUAGAUAAUGAUUAAAAUAUUAUUAAAUGAUUAAUAAUAUUAGUAAAUAAUUUGAAUAUUAUUAAAUGAUUAAUAAUAUUAGAAGGUGAUUAAAAUAUUAUUAAAUGAUUAAUAAUAUUUAUAAAUGAUGAAGAUAUUACUAAGAAAUUGAGAAGUAAAUAAAAUAUUAUUAAAAGAUUAAUAAUAUUAGACGAGAAUUUAAGAUGAUAUUAUGUGAUAAUAAUAUUAUCAAAUGACGAUAAUAUUACUAAUGAGUUAAAAAAUUAUUCAACGUUUGAUUAUGUGGCUAAAUGUUAGCUAAUUUAUUAUUUGAGUAAUAGUAUUGUGAGAUAAAAUGUAUUAUGCUAAUUGGAGGAUCAAUCUUGUUAAUGAUAGGUCUUUCAUAAGAGAUUAAAUUAGAUUACUUAGCGGUAAUCAACGGUACAGGCAAGUUUUCUAACUCAAACUCGAGUUAAUAAUUUUUUUAGAAUGCUAGUGGUUUAAUUAUUGACAAUUAUUCCACAUCUAUGAUUAUUGAUUCGCACUAGUGCACAUUACAUAUGUUUAUCAGGUAUGAAAGGCUGAUCACCUUCAUUACCAAAGUAUUUGUUCAUGGUCAUUGUUGAUCACUCAACGUUAUUAAUUCAAUCAUCUAUGUAUUGAAAUUUGAUUCAUGUAUUUCACAAUUAUUACAUUGUUGAAAACUUGAAAGUUUAUUCAUUCCUUUUAAUCAUGAUAUAUCUUCAAUUAAAUUUAAACUUGUUGGGCAAACUUGUUGCUCACCCUUGCUAUAUCAUGAUAAAAAAUUUCAGAUUUAAGAGGAAAGCUCGAGUAAAGACAGAAGCAAAGACAGUGCAAGAUUUAAUUAUGGUGCAGUUAAAUCUAUUAAAUUUUUCUGAUGAAAAUAGCAUUGUAAACCUUUUUAGAUAUUGAAGGUAUGUAUUAAGUUAAGGUUGUAGACCUUGGGAAUGAUGUGUAAAAGUUUAAUGUAAAAACAAUUUAUGUUUAUAUCUUCCGCAAUAGUUAUAGAAAUGAUGUACCAGGUCUGAGGUAAAAAGUACCCGGAUUUGGGGGUGUCACAAUGGCGGGCGGGCGGGCAGGCCCAGCCCGCGGGCCUGGGCCUCUUUUGCCGGGUCUAUUUUUAUUCAUAAUUUUGGAUGAGGAAGAGAAUUUUGUGGGUAGUUCUUAAUGUUCACAAUAGUUAUUACAAUGUAAAAAUGUCAAAUUUUGAAUUUGCAUUCUUUUCAUGUGUGAAUGAUAAAUCUUUUUGGUCGUAUCUGUUGUGUGAUUAUUCAUGCAUGAUACCUUUCUAGCUAGGACCACCUCUAUAGAGAUGCAGAAGCUUUACCAAAAAUGUUUCUCUUCGGAGAUUUGAGCUUAAUGCUGCAUAAGAGAGUUCUUUAGUGGAAAUUUCAAAUUUAAAAAUGGUAGAUUGAAACCAUUAGCCUCUAAACAAGGAAGUGAUUUGCUUACUAAAUAUCCAAAAGAUUUUUUUGGUGAUACUUUGACCACUUUUUCCUUUUCUCCAAAGGAAAAUGCCAGCUCCUCUUAUGUCCAUCUUCACCACCUUUGGUUGCUCAUGGAAACGCUUGACACCUUCUAGCAUCUCUUCCAUAUUCAAAAGUACCAAUCAGUUUCUUAUCCUCUCUAUUUUUUUUCAUCACUUUGACUUAGUUUACAUAAGAAUUUAAAAUGAUUCAAUUUCCCCUUUUUAAAUCACUAAAAUUUGAGAAGUUUUCUACUGGUCUUUAAUUUAGGGGAUUUGGCAGUAGUAAGGAUACUAAGCUAAUUUGGACGUGUGUAAUUUUUUUUCCCAGUUCUACUGGGUAUUUGAACGGAAAAUGGAAUUCCAAACUUUUCAGAGAAACAAUCGUAAUCUAAUUUGUUGUGAGAUAGAGUCAUUUUUCUUGCUUCCCUUAGCGGCAUUCUAGUAUAAGAAUUUAUUUAGGGAUAGGAGGGCUACACUUGUUCUCUUUAAGGUGGACAUCUUGUUAUUGCAAUAUGUACCUUCAUCUUUCAAUCUAUAAAAUUGUUUUUUCUAUCCAACGAAAAAAAGAGGUUAAAGGCAUAUGUAAGGUGUUGAUGAGGAAGGUCUUUGGUGAUAGGAACAGGAAUAGUGGACUGAUUCAGGGUCUUUCUGUAAGACCUGGUGGACCUCCCAAGCUUAGCAUGACAGGAAUAGACCGGGAUUCAGGCCAGCAGGAAGAGUUGAGGAGACAGGGUACCACCUAGCGAAUUAUUGUAAGAGAUUUAAUGUUCCAUUCAAGUAUAAUGCUAUAGCAAAGAAAUGGGACACUAUCCAACUUGAGGAUCUCAUGAUUGACAGUGACGAAAUGCUUAUAGUUAUUUGUUUGUACCGGUUCAGAAAUGUUCCUGAUGAGACACUAGGGGAUAAAUUGUGUAAGGGAGGCCACGAGUCGCCAGUAUGCGACAAGCCUAAACAGGUUUACAUUCGCACAUGCAAAAGCAGCUUUUAUUCGAGAUAAUAGCCUACAAUAAACCUUCCCCCGUGUUGAAGGUACAUGCAUAAGAAUUCCAGCUUAGUAUACUUAAUGAAAGGAUCCAUGAAUUGGCAUGCCAAUUAAAUCAGAGUAAAACUACAGGUGAAUUUCUUUGGACAUCAAGACAAACUAGAUGUUUAACCAGGAACGUGUGUUCAAGAGAGCAAGAAUGUAAUCUAACUAAUUGAUAUGGAUAGAGAUUCUGUUAUUGUAAUCUAACUAAUUGAAAGCAAAUAUGAAGAAUGUCUGCCUGCCUUUCUCACCACCUAUUUCCUUUUGUAUAUCCAUGAGUUUUAUAUCAUCAGAUGUCUGCCUGAUUUUUAGUUUAGCCAACCAAUAUUUACAGUUUCAAUUGCUAAUUGAUGUGCAUUUUUAUGACUUGCAAAUGUAUUUAAUGUACGUAUAUUUAACUCUUGUACAUGUUUUGGAUUUUAGACAGAAUAUAGUACUGAGGUUGGCGGUCCUGCAGAGGACGGUACACCAGAGGUAGAUGACUUGACUAUUUGGAUUGAGAAAACUGGUGGGAUUAAAAAAAAUAGGAUACUUGAUUUUCCAGGAUAUCGCGCACGAGACGUGCACGGUACUCCUCCUAUAGUGCCGCCGAGUAUAGGUUAUUCUUCACCGCAACAAUCUACUGAUCCUAAGGAAUUGUAGAAUAUGAUUGACAAGAUUGUCCUCCGUCGAUUGGGUAUAAAGUCUAUGGAUGAUGCUUCUACCAAUGAUAGUACACCACAACCGUCCGUUGGUAUAGAUAUUACUGAACAUAUAACUAAAUUGGUAGAGACGAAGUUUACCAACUUCCUUCAAACAUUUAUAACCAACUAUGAUUCACUUGAGGUAUUUACUAAUAACUAUAUUUUUGUAUGUGUCCUUCAUUAAUCUCUCUCCCUAUUAAUUUAAGUUCACCAGGUUUAUUUUUUCAUAUUCCUCAUCUUGUUGAAAUUGAAUUUUGGUGUUUUUUUUGCAGGAGGAAAUUUACAAGUCCAACCUUGAUUUCCUUGAAGAAAAUGAUGAUAAAGUGGACCCAUGAUGAACACUUCAUUCCUUCUAGUUCGUUGUUAUUUUUUCAGUUUUCUUGUGUUAGUUAUUAAAUAUUGUAAGUACUACGUUCCUUGGGAGAUCAAGAUACAAUAACAAAUUAUGUACUUAUCGUGACUUGAGCAUUAUUUAUUUAUAUAUGGAG